CACGUAGGGGGCAAGCGUUGUCCGGAUUUAUUGGGCGUAAAGAGCUCGUAGGUGGUUCGGUAAGUCGGGUGUUAAACCCCCAGGCUCAACCUGGGGACGCCACUCGAUACUGCUGUGACUAGAGUCCGGUAGGGGAGCGUGGAAUUCCUGGUGUAGCGGUGAAAUGCGCAGAUAUCUGGAGGAACACCGGUGGCGAAGGCGGCAUCCUGGACCGGCAUUGACGCUGAGGCGCGAAAGCCAGGGGAGCAAACGGG
rnacentral:rRNA from 1 species